rnacentral:rRNA from 1 species
GUGGGGAAUUUUGGACAAUGGGCGCAAGCCUGAUCCAGCAAUGCCGCGUGCAGGAAGAAGGCCUUCGGGUUGUAAACUGCUUUUGUACGGAACGAAACGGUCCUGGCUAAUAUCCGGGGUUAAUGACGGUACCGUAAGAAUAAGCACCGGCUAACUACGUGCCAGCAGCCGCGGUAAUACGUAGGGUGCGAGCGUUAAUCGGAAUUACUGGGCGUAAAGCGUGCGCAGGCGGUGCUGUAAGACAGGCGUGAAAUCCCCGAGCUCAACCUGGGAAUUGCGCUUGUGACUGCAGUGCUGGAGUGCGGCAGAGGGGGAUGGAAUUCCGCGUGUAGCAGUGAAAUGCGUAGAUAUGCGGAGGAACACCGAUGGCGAAGGCAAUCCCCUGGGCCUGCACUGACGCUCAUGCACGAAAGCGUGGGGAGCAAACAGGAUUAGAUACCCUGGUAGUCC